UUCUGGAUCACCUCAGAUUCGCAACACAUUGUCAGAAGCUAUUAAGAAGAAAGUAGUGGGUCGCAUGGGAGAUUGGUGGUGGUGCAGCAAAGAAUUUUGGAGUCUUACAGAGUCACGGUGGAUGAGCAUGACAUUAGAGCCUCUGUUGGCCAGAGCAUUGCAUGAGGGAGAGUGAGAGAGAUGAAAGAAGAGGGAAAGAAGGGAUAGG
rnacentral:lncRNA from 1 species